rnacentral:rRNA from 1 species
CCUACGGGAGGCAGCAGUGGGGAAUAUUGGGCAAUGGAGGAAACUCUGACCCCUCCCCUCCUCUUUCCUUCUUCCUUUCUUCUUCUUUUCCCUUUCUUUUCUCAUUGAAGAAGAAAGUGACGGUACCUUAGGAAUAAGCUUCGGCUAACUACGUGCCAGCAGCCGCGGUAAUACGUAGGAGGCAAGCGUUAUCCGGAAUGACUGGGCGGAAAGGGUGCGUAGGUGGUUUGACAAGUUGGUAGCGUAACUCCGGGGCUCAACCUCAGCACUACUACCAAAACUGUCGGACUAGAGUGCAGGAGAGGCAAAUGGAAUUCCUAGUGUAGCGGUGGAAUGCGUAGAUAUUAGGAGGAACACCAGUGGCGAAGGCGAUUUGCUGGACUGUAACUGACACUGAGGCACGAAAGCGUGGGGAGCAAACAGGAUUAGAUACCCUAGUAGUC